AUACCCUUCAAUAUGAAGAAGUGAAAAUGAAACCAUAAGUCCAUGGACACAUGGGAGACAGACGAAUUUCUGGCUGAAAAAGAUAAGGAAGCUGCAGAAGAAAGAUUGAAGCUAGCAGAGGUUGUUUCAUGAGGUUUGAGGAAAGGAGCUAUCUCCAUAACAUAAAAAUGCAAUGUAAAGCAGCAAGUGCUGACAGAGAAGUUGCAGCAAGUUAUCCAGAUCUAGGUAAGCUGAUUGAUGAAGGUGGCUCACUAAACAAAAGAUUUUCAUUGUAGACAAAGCAGCUGUCUAUUGGAAAACAAUGCCAUCUAGGACUUUCAUAAGGAGAAGUCAAUUCCUGGCUUCAAAGAUUCAAAGAACAGGCUGAGGCUCUUGUUAGGGACUAAUGCAGCUCGUGAGUUUAAGUUGAAGCCAAUGCUCAUUUAUCAUUCCAAAAAUCCUAGGACUCUUAAGAAUUAUGCUAAAUCUACUCUGCCUGUGCUCUAGAAAUGGAUCACAAAGCCUGGAUAAUGACACAUCUGUUUACCAUGGUUUACUGAAUCUUCUAAGCCAACUAUUGAGACCUCCUGCUCAGAAAAAAAGAUCCUUUUUAAAGCAUUACUGCUCAUUGACAAUACAACUGGUCACCCAAGACCUCUGAUGGAGAUGUACAAGGAGAUUAAUCUUGUUUUCAUAGCUGCUAACACAAUAUCUAUUUGGAAGCUCAUGAUUCAAAGAGUAAUUUUGAUCUUCCAGUCUUGUUAAGAAAUAUGUUUUGUAAGGCUUUAUCUGCUAUAGAUAGUGAUUCCUCUAAUGGAUCUAGGUAAAGUAAAUUGAAAACCUUCUGGAAAAGAUUCACAAUGCUAGAUGCCAUUAAAAACAUUCAUAAUUCAUAGGAGGAGGCAAAAAUAUCAACAUGAUCAGGAGAUUGGAAGAAGUUGAUUCCAACCCUCAUGGAUGACUUUGGGGGGUUUAAGACUUUAUUGGAAGAAGCCACUGCAGAUACAGUGGAAAUAGCAAGAGAACUAGAAUUAAAAGUGAAGCCUGAAGGUGUGACUGAAUUGCUGCAAUCUCUUGAUAAAACUUUAAUGGUUGAGGAGUUGCUUCUUAUGAAUAACCAAAGAAACUGGUUUCUUGAGAUGGAAUCUACUGCAGAAGAUGCAGUGAACAUUAUUAAAUGACAAUAAAAAAUUAAGAAUAUUACAUAAUUUAGUUGUUAAAGCCAUGGCAGGAUUUCAGAGGAUUGACUCCAACUUUUUUUUUUUUUUAAGAAAAAAAACAGGAGAUGUAUUCAAACUACAAAUACUUGACUUGAAGGAAAAACUAUCUAGGAUUCUUUUUCUUUUUUACAGUAAUGUAUCCCUACUUAAAGACAGAUGGCCCUACAUAUAACAGCUAUGUACAAAACUAGUUGUAAAAUUGUUAUUGGUUUUACAGUGAUAAAUGUAAAACUAAAAAAAUCUGUAUGACUCAUUUUGCUGGGAUAUACACUUUAUUGCAGUGACCUAGGACUGAACCCACAAUACCGCUGAACUAUGUAUGUGUGUCACAGGAGCACUCAGAUCUGGAACAGAUGGAUCAGAGACACUGGGUUUCUCUUGCUACUGUAUAGCUGCCAAAGAGUGGCCUCUUUUUAUCCUGACUAGUCAUCCUUGAAUUUGGAGUUGUCCAUGAAGUUCUUCUACUGUCCAGAAAGAGGGCGCACACUUCCUUAGUUCCCAUCAGCGUGGUGGGAAAGAUUCCUACAGAGGCUGAAGAAAUAACAUUCUGGUGCUUUUUAAUGCUUAUCAAUGCAGAUCUUUCACCUGGGGAGCAAUCUGUUGUUCCCACUACAAUAAAAAAUAUGGAGUUUCUUUGAUAAAAAAUCUUAAUUUGUCUCUCCUUCUCCUUCUUCUUCCUCUUCCUUGCUGGAAGACAUGCAUGUCUGGC
rnacentral:lncRNA from 1 species